UGUUAGAAAUUUAAUUCAUAUUUUCGUUAAAAACUGACAUGGCUAAUAGAACAAUCAAACAGUGGUAUGUGAUGUGCCACGUGUACCUCAUGCUGAUGUACAUAGAUCAUUUUUAAUAGUAGUAAUGGAUAAAAUUUUUAAAA
rfam:Gossypium hirsutum cultivar TM-1 chromosome 24, whole genome shotgun sequence